UACAGAGGGUGCGAGCGUUAAUCGGAAUUACUGGGCGUAAAGCGUGCGCAGGCGGCUUUGCAAGACAGAUGUGAAAUCCCCGGGCUCAACCUGGGAACUGCAUUUGUGACCGCAUGGCUAGAGUACGGUAGAGGGGGAUGGAAUUCCGCGUGUAGCAGUGAAAUGCGUAGAUAUGCGGAGGAACACCGAUGGCGAAGGCAAUCCCCUGGACCUGUACUGACGCUCAUGCACGAAAGCGUGGGGAGCAAACAGG
rnacentral:rRNA from 1 species